UACGAAGGGGGCUAGCGUUGCUCGGAAUCACUGGGCGUAAAGGGUGCGUAGGCGGGUCUUUUAAGUCAGGGGUGAAAUCCUGGAAGCUCAACUCCAGAACUGCCUUUGAUACUGAGGAUCUUGAGUCCGGGAGAGGUGAGUGGAACUGCGAGUGUAGAGGUGAAAUUCGUAGAUAUUCGCAAGAACACCAGUGGCGAAGGCGGCUCACUGGCCCGGUACUGACGCUGAGGUGCGAAAGCGUGGGGAGCGAACAGG
rnacentral:rRNA from 1 species